AUGAAGUCUGUGAUCUUGAAGGAAACAGCAGGCAUUGAAAACACUUCAAGGGGGAAACGAGGGAGUGAGCAAGUGAGAAAGAAAGGGAGGGAGGGAGCCAGCCAGCCAGCUCUCGGUCGUCUAGUCCAGGCCCCACUCUCGGCAUUCAGACUGAUCUGCUCAGAUGUCAGAAGCCUGACUUGCUUUCGAGCCAGUCACCUCUGAAACUCAUCUCAGUCUAGCUCAUGGGUUCCCAAAGUGGCCAGCCUUUUCCCAGGUAGCGAAGCUGUUGGAGAGGGCCGA
rnacentral:lncRNA from 1 species